rnacentral:rRNA from 1 species
ACGAACCAUGAUGUCAUUAAUUUGGUGUUAUGGGAAGUUAGGACUGUUACUUUGAAAAAAUUAGAGUGUUUAAAGCAGGCUUUGGCUUGAAUACAUUAGCAUGGAAUAAUGAAAUAGGACGUUCGAACCUAUUUUGUUGGUUUCUAGGAUCAACGUAAUGAUUAAUAGGGAUAGUUGGGGCAUUAGUAUUCAAUUGUCAGAGGUGAAAUUCUUGGAUUUAUUGAAGACUAACUACUGCGAAAGCAUUUGCCAAGGAUGUUUUCAUUAAUCAAGAACGAAAGUUAGGGGAUCGAAGACGAUCAGAUACCGUCGUAGUCUUAACCAUAAACUAUGCCGACUAGGGAUCGGAUGAUGUUAAUUUUUUAAUGACUCAUUCGGCGCCUUACG